CCGGAGCUCAGGGACAAAGCCCUCUUGGCAGGGGCUGCAGCUGGGCCCGUGAAACAGCCCUUUCAGCUCCGGCUCUGAAUGGCGGUUCUGUGGCCUCGUUGGAGGAACACAGGCGCCUUUUCUGUGUCACUUCCCCCUCACCAGCGGAGCUCCAGAAAUAUGCCACAGCUCGCAUUCCACCAGGGGCUUGCAUGCAGACAGGGAGGAAACUCGUGAAAUGAAAAACCCCCGGAACCAGACAGAGCGGAGUUUGAGUCCCUCUUCUGUCACCUGCCAGCUGACUUCAGGUGAAUCCUUCACUUGGCUGCUGUCCUGUCCCGUGUCUGUAAAGUCGGGAUCUCAACGCCAAUAUCACAGGAUGGAGGAGGAUGAGGUGUAUUGAAUGCUGCAUCCGUGUUUAUUGUUUCUCCAGCACCUUCUUGUAUCGGUCAGGACAGGAUAGAUCUGAGCCCUGAAUUUAAUAUAAUCCUCCAGCCAGCCUCCGAACUGAGCCUCUGGAGAGCUGAGAAGAGCAGAUGAAGAUGUGUCAACAGUGGUCAGCUCACCCGUUUCAUCCUUCAGCUUCAAAACUCUGGAGCCACACAGACCAGGUCUGCAGAUUUUCAGGAUUCUUGCUGCUGCUGCCGCUUAAAAGCUUAGGAGAGAAAAAUAAAAUUCCGCCAAAUUGG
rnacentral:lncRNA from 1 species